UAUAAAUUUUAAGUAACAAAAAUAUUUUUGUUGAAACCUAAUUACUAUUUUGCUUUUUACCUUCAUAAAAAAACCAACUUUUUAUAUUUUUUCUUUACUCUACGCAUCUCCAUAUCAACUCAUGGUUCCAGCUGCCGCCUGCUUGUUUGCCAAGUAAAACAAAAAAAAAAAGACCAAGGAAAAAAAGUGAUAUAAGACCGCAGGAGAUAUUUUUGAUGUCACAAAAAAGAGAGAAAAAAAACUUGCACUCUAACCAAGACCCAAACAAGCCAAGAAGACACAAAAAGAUACUCUACUACGAUGAGCUGAAACAAUUAAGUAAGCUGGCUGGCUUGCUUGCAUUCCUAUGGCAAAGAUGUAUGUAGCAGGAGGGCAGGCAAAAAUUCAUACCACCAACUGUAUAGUUGGCUGACUGCACAUUGUUGGAGCAGCCUUAUUCCUGUAGCAUAUGAACCAAGCUGGAGUUAAAAUAAAGCAAGGAUGAGGCGACA